GGUGGCCUUGCAUGGGAUGGGAAGGAACACGUGUCUCAGCUACACUCUGCUCAUCUCGAGUCUUCGCUCCUCAUUUGGUAAGAAUGUUUUGUUUGUACAAUAAAAAUAUUUAAUUCUCAACAGGCUCAUGUUCUACACCUCCAAGGAAGUAUAACAACCCUCUCCUGCCUCACUUUACCUACUUUUACAAUCCAGACAUGGGCUUAAAAACAUGCUGACAUUAUCUGGGUUCUGUGAGCACACAAAUCCUGCAUAAGCUACGUGCUUGUACAGUUAGAGACCAGUUUUUAUAUAAAAUAAUCUUUAAUUUUCAUUCAAACUGACUAUCAGAUGUUGCCAAUUCUGUCAUGUAAUUGAUUUAUUGUAAUCAUUCACUAGCUUCAGAGCAUUUCACCUGCUGUUUCAGACAACCAACUUGUGCAACUGCAGGUUAAACCCACCCCUCAUCAGUGAAACAAAAAUAAGGUAAGUGUCCAGAUUUGGUUUAAUAAAUUACUCAUUUAACAUACAUUUAGCAAGAAUGCUGUGCUGGAUGUCUUUUAGUGCAGGAAAGGUGAUGAGUUUCUUGAGUUGAGUUUUAUUCUUUUUAGAUGUGCAGUACAGCAUUGUUAUUACAGACCAAGCCAAAAUAUAUGAGAGGAAAGCUCUCUGGUAUUUAUGUUUAAGAUGAUUUCAUGUCUCCAUCUGCGUUUUAGUUCUUGCACAUUGUUUCAUUGAGUAAUGUAAAAAUUUCAGGCUGACAAUCAGUGUGUGAAAAGACAAAAUCAAAAUUCUAAUGAGUGUAACUGUAAGACAUUUAGAUUCUACAGCAAUUUGUGGUUGCAUUAAACAAUAACUAAGAUUAUUAAACAAUGGGGACAACUAACAAAGUUAGCUGGUCAUCAGUGUAAUUACACACAAGGCAAGCAGAAACUACCAAGAUAAAUAAAUAAAUAAAUAAAAUAAAAUAAAUACACACGGGGACAUCACUGACAUAAUGCUUUCCCUAGCCGCUUACCCUAAACCUAACCAUAGCCUAAUUGUAACCCUGGCCCUAAAA
rnacentral:lncRNA from 1 species